rnacentral:rRNA from 1 species
GGGUCAGUAGGUUGGUCGUGCCACCGGUACGUACUGGUCUCACUGAUUCCUCCUUCCUGAAGAACCGUAAUGCCAUUAAUUUGGUGUUGCGGGGAGACAGGACUGUUACUUUGAAAAAGUUAGAGUGUUUAAAGCAAGCUAACGCUUGAAUACAUUAGCAUGGAAUAAUGAAAUAGGACGAUCGAUCCUAUUUUGUUGGUUUCUAGGAUUGACGUA